rnacentral:rRNA from 1 species
AGCGAACGCUGGCGGCAUGCCUAACACAUGCAAGUCUGACGGGCGGGGCUUUUGGGCUCUGUCAGUGGCGGACGGGUGAGGAGCGCGUAGGAACGUAUCCAGGGGUGGGGGACAACCGCGGGAAACUGCGGCUAAUACCGCAUGGGGCCUUGUGGGGAGACCCGAAAGGGGGGAUCCGGGGCCAAAGGCGAGGCGACCUCGCCGCCGCUGGAGCGGCCUGCGUCCGAUUAGCUAGUUGGUGGGUGACGGCCCACCAAGGCCUGUGAUCGGUAGCUGGUCUGAGAGGAUGAUCAGCCACACUGGGACUGAGACACGGCCCAGACUCCUACGGGAGGCAGCAGUGGGGAGUAUUGGACAAUGGGGGAAACCCUGAUCCAGCAAUGCCGCGU